UACGUAGUGGGCUAGCGUUGUCCGGAAUCAUUGGGCGUAAAGCGCGCGUAGGCGGCCCGGUAAGUCCGCUGUGAAAGUCAAAGGCUCAACCUUUGAAUGUCAGCGGAUACUGCCGGGCUAGAGUCCGGAAGAGGCGAGUGGAACUCCUGGUGUAGCGGUGGAAUGCGCAGAUAUCAGGAAGAACACCAACGGCGAAGGCAGCUCGCUGGGACGGAACUGACGCUGAGGCGCGAAAGCGUGGGGAGCGAACAGG
rnacentral:rRNA from 1 species